rnacentral:rRNA from 1 species
UAAUACAUGCAAGUCGUACGCACUGGCCCAACUGAUUGAUGGUGCUUGCACCAGAUUGACGAUGGAUCACCAGUGAGUGGCGGACGGGUGAGUAACACGUGGGUAACCUGCCCCGGAGCGGGGGAUAACAUUUGGAAACAGAUGCUAAUACCGCAUAACUACGAAGACCACAUGGUCUUCGUAUAAAAGAUGGCUCUGCUAUCACUCUGGGAUGGACCCGCGGUGCAUUAGCUAGUUGGUAAGGUAACGGCUUACCAAGGCGAUGAUGCAUAGCCGAGUUGAGAGACUGAUCGGCCACAAUGGAACUGAGACACGGUCCAUACUCCUACGGGAGGCAGCAGUAGGGAAUCUUCCACAAUGGGCGCAAGCCUGAUGGAGCAACACCGCGUGAGUGAAGAAGGGUUUCGGCUCGUAAAGCUCUGUUGUUGGAGAAGAACGUACCUGAGAGUAACUGUUCAGGUAGUGACGGUAUCCAACCAGAAAGUCACGGCUAACUACGUGCCAGCAGCCGCGGUAAUACGUAGGUGGCAAGCGUUAUCCGGAUUUAUUGGGCGUAAAGCGAGCGCAGGCGGUUGCUUAGGUCUGAUGUGAAAGCCUUCGGCUUAACCGAAGAAGUGCAUCGGAAACCGGGCGACUUGAGUGCAGAAGAGGACAGUGGAACUCCAUGUGUAGCGGUGGAAUGCGUAGAUAUAUGGAAGAACACCAGUGGCGAAGGCGGCUGUCUGGUCUGCAACUGACGCUGAGGCUCGAAAGCAUGGGUAGCGAACAGGAUUAGAUACCCUGGUA